AGCUGCAGGACAGAUUAAAAAAAGCAAGUAUCACUGGCAUUUAAUAUCUCUAAUCCAGCAGUAAGACAAGCCUGCCGACUGUUUGCUUAAUGUUCAACAUCCCUUUCUGAUUAAGCAAAAGGUUUGAAGUGAUUAUAGUUUAUUUACAACAAAAGUGGGCUUAAAUGAGAGUUAAUUCCUCCCCCUCCUCCCUCAUCGGGCCCUUUGCCAGUUGCCAUGUGUCUGCUCAGCUCCCUUUAGCAGAGCACCCGCAGAAGCCAGGGCAGGUGUUCCCAUUGGGAAGGGCUUCUCCCCAAGUGAUGCCCAUCUGGGGGUUCCAGUUCUGACCCUCCCCCCCCCCCAAGUACCUGCAUGUACAAAGGGAAAUGCUGCAGCUGAAUAAAAACAAAACAGUAAAAAUCCAGAGGAGCAGCAUUUAGGGGCUGAUUUCCCAUCCCACACCUGGGACUGUCUGACAUUGCCUGGAUCUGGAGGAACAGCAGCUCCCUCCCAGGGGUGAAAUAAGAGAAUUAUCCCGAUCUGUAAUGGCACAUUGGGCUCAGGGUUCCGGGUCCCCAUGCUGCUGGAUGCUUUGCAGCCUCCAGCCAGCUCGGUGUGAGCAGGUGAUGCUGUGAGGAAGAGGAGGCAGGGAAGCAGCACAGGGGACCUCGGUGCUUUCCUCCUCAAAGGGGCAGGUUGGGAAUCUGUUGCUUCGGGGACAAUCUGCAGAGCAGAGGGGUCAGGGCAGAGGACAGCAGUGCUGCCCAUGGACUGCAGCUCUGCACAAGAGCAGCUGGAGACCUUUGCUAUCCCAAUCAGAUAACUCAUCAUUCCGGGUGCCAAGAGCCAUCUGUGCCACUUGCAAGGCAUCAUCUCUCUGUUAAUUGGAAGUAAUUUUCCUAUAAAAAUAUAAAAUUGCUUCUGCAAACAAAACGUUAGGCACGCGCUGCACGCUGAAGUGGUGAAAUACUGUGAGGGGUCGGGAGCUGGAGGCAGAGCUCUGCUCUAGACAGGGAUUCACUUCCCAGCAGUGUGGGCAGCUCAGUGCACACAAUGCAGCUGGCGGGAGCCCGAGGGGAAGCUCGCCGACAUUGCCCAUAUUACUACCUACGGGAUCAAUGGAGGCCCCAGCUCUCACCGGCAGGGAGUGCAAGAAAGAAAGGCACAAAAGCUGUGGAGAGUGAAUAAACUCAAUUAGAUCGCUGUAAUUGCAACAAGAAUUAGUGUGGGGGUCGGGCACAUGUGCCGUCUCGGAGCAGUAAUUAAAAGUGCAGUGUUUGCCAUGCUGGGGAGGUGGCCUGCUGGGUCCCAGCAGUGCCCUUUGAAAAGCUCCACGAUGGAGCUUCGGGGCUGGAUAAAUACAAAUGUCAGUGCCUCGCAGCCCAUGGGGGGACUCUCAAUCCACAGCCCAGUGGGAGAAUCCCCUGCUUUACAUUCCCAACAGUUGGGCUAAUUUCAGAGUCAGGCUUUGAUGUGCUUUGGGGAGCCCUGUGUGCUACACACUUUCCCAGCGAGGCACCCCCUCCCUUUCUCAAAUGCUUUAUUAAUUUUCUCCUGUGGUUUUUUUUAUCCUCCCUUUCUCUUGGGCCUGCCUGCAACUUCUCUUUUGUGCUCAAACAGCGGGGCUCGUAGCCGAGAAUUUAUAUCAUUCUGAAAUAUAUAUAAAGAGGGGAUAAAAGAGAAGAUGUAGGAACCUGCGGAGAUUUCUGCAAUUAUCCACCCUGGGAGCCGGGGUCUUCUUCCUCCUGCAGCUCACUGUGCAGCCUUCCCUUGUCCUCCCUCAUCUCCCCCAUCAGCAGGGAGCUGGGGCUGGCUGGUACCCAGGAGACAGCAAUGGUAACAUAGGGUUGUUAGAGCCUCAUGAAGGGCUGGUGACCACCCCUAAGGGGAGCAGAGCCAACAAGGUGGAUGCAGCAUCCUUAGGCUGCUGACAGUGCAGGUAGUGGGCAUUUAGGGAGCAGCACAGCUGAUGCACCAAGGCAUUGCAUGCCCAACGCUGCACCCUGCCCACAUCAGUCCACUGUGGUCCUCUUCCCACAGCUGGUGCUCCCCAGGAGCAGCUCAUGCAUACAAGAUGCUACAGCUGUAAGGAGCAUUGCUGCAGCCUCACGAUGCUCAACAGACUCGGGGUUGAAGCUCCCCAGGAUGCCCCAGCCUUCUUCUCUCUUUCCCCCACAUCCCACCCCGCUGCUGGGCAAUGGCGACAUCCACAUGCCGCAGCGAACAGCCCAAUGCUGCUCGGCUUUUGCUAAGCUGGCAUUCAGCUCCUUUCCUGUUUCUUAUUAUCAACUGAAUUUGGCAUGGAGGGGAUUCUCUCCCCACAUCCCGUUGGCACACAAAAGGCUCAAAAACCAGCAAAACCAUUGUUUGUACUUGAAGGGCGGGGACCAGGGUGAAAAGAACAGCAUGUUUUAGAGCCCAGAGCUAGGAACCAUUAGAGCAUCUGGAACAGUUAGUGGGACAGGGGCGUUACAAUUAAAUAAAAAUGGGUGAUUACAGAGCUGUUCCCUCGUUCUGACAUACACAAGGGAAGCAGCGGCACAUGCCUGAGCAUGCAGUUAAGGGGAUUCCUCUCCUACAGACCCGGAAUAAAUGGGGUUUUCAUCAGGGAAGUUUGAGGUCGGUAUGAGAGCCUUAUGAGGGAUUGAGGACCGCUGCUGCUUAUUGCCAGGACACCAUGUAGAGGCGUUUCUCACUGCAGGAGGGUGCAGGGAAAGGAGCCACAUUCCUCACAGCCGGGGCCCCCAGCAGCACGUGGGAGCUGUGCUUUGUGGCUGCCGGGUUCCCCAACCCCUCAGAGAGCACAGGGUGCUCAGCCUGGUUGUCAGCUUGCAGCUGGGAUGGAGCUUCCCCACUAGAACUUUAGCUUUCUCUUUUAACAAGUCCCUUAGGAGCUCUCAUGCCCCAUCCCUCCAGUUCCUGCUAUUCAGAGGAUUGGACAGCUCAGCUUUCACAAAGAUAUACAUGUCCUGCAGAAAGAAAUCCUACUGUUUGAGGACCUCAGUCCCGUCCCUUAAAAUGUGCUGUUUUCAUUAAAGCGGUGAAAUCGGAUUUCAAAAACAAAACAACAAAAAAACAACCAACCAACACACACAAAAAAAGCCAGGAUUUGGAUAGCGGCCCUUGAUUUGGGCCUGAUGAACAAGAUCCAGAAGCAAAACAAAGGCUGUUUCCACAAUGGUUGGAGGGAAAGGGAAUCGGUCCAAUUGCAAAACUUGGAUCCUGGCACCGAGGGAGUCUUUGUGUGCAAGACCUGUGGCAAUGGAUGGCAAUGACUUCGGGAAAUUCAAUACUCACCCAGCUCAUAAACAGAAAACAAGGAAAAUAAACUUGGGCAGAUGGGAGGAAGCGGAGAGCCAAAGCCAUGGAUUUCUGCUAGAUUGGAUAUGGGCCACUCCAUCCUGGUCAGUGGGAUGGGGCUGUAGGACACUGAAUGGGGCCGCAGUCACAGUGGGCUGUUAUGGGGGGUCAUGGCCAUCCCCCAUAUAUAGAGUGCCUGCAGGUUGAAGGUUGCUCCUCUUUAUGUUCAGUUCCUCACCGUAUUCACUGCAUGGGGAAAGACCUGCCAUCACAGCACACACUGAACAUAGGUGAUGGCUGAGGAUGCGACGUGAGCUGCGAUGAGAUGGAGGCAGCAAUGAAAGGUUCAGUGAACAGAAUGACUUUGGAAAGGAAGGUUUUGAGAAACAGAAAGGAUGACUCCAUAAAGCCUCAAAGCCACUGCCUGAUGGCGCUGCCUCACUCUGAAACAUAAGAACUGACUGUUCUCUUCUGGCCACAGACAAGAGGAAUCAGUAUUUAGACCAUUUAUGGGCCAGAGCGGGUCAGCGGAGAUAUGAAAUCUGUGGGAUCAUUGAAUUCCCUCAUUGCCACAGCCCUACAUUUGCAAUUGCAGAUUGAUGAAACUCCGCACAUCCCACCAGCCGCUGGGCACUGCCUGCAAGCACGUGGCAAGGGCAGAACUACCCACCUUCCUGAGCCACACCAGGCAUUGGGACACCAGGAACCAACCCAGAUCCGGGGCUGGAAGCCACAAUCAUUGCAGAGCCUGAAUGUGCACCUCCCCCCAGUGAGCUGCCACAGAAGCAGUUUGCGUGUAGGGAAAGCCUAUGGUAUUUUUAUGUCCUGACAGAUUUUCAUUCUUUUGGCACAGAAAGAGAAACAGCGUCCUCCCCUCAAAUUAGGCAACUAUCAUUGUUUAUUUCAAAGUUUAGAACUACUGGCUCAUAAAAACAAAGCAAUUGAGAGCGGGGAGUGCUGCGAGAUGACAUGGUUGCUGCUGGUAGCAGUAAGGAGCUGGGACUGAUGCCAUCCAGUGCCCAUCAUGGGGUCCCUCCACUCAUGAAUGUCCCAAACUGGGGUCUGCAUGGCCACCUCCUGCAUGGCAGCAAGGACUGCUGCCAUGUCCAUGACCAAGGAUGUAAUAUGGACUUCCUUCUCCAUUGCACUAAGCAAAGCUCACCCCAGCUCAGCUUCCUUGGUGUUCUGCUCACCCUUAGCCAUCUGGAUAGGACCCCCAGAGCUCUGCCCUCCAGCAGCCACACAGGAGAUGCCCAAUUUCUGUUCAUGAUCAUCGUGAGUGUGCAACCCCACCAUCUUCAGCACUUGGCUGGCCCUAGAGUGAAGGCAUGAUGCCAUGAUGAAGCCUUUGCCUGUUCGAACCAGGCAAAUUAGACUAAAGAAAUCCAAGCCAGCCACCUACUGCUCCUCCUAGGAAAUUCAUAGAAGCAUCUUUGGUCUGACCUUCAUUUCUGACCAAAAGAAAAAAAGAAAAAGGCAUAAGAAAUACUAGUAAUAAAAUACAGUGGAUACUUUGUUGGAGGAAAAAUCAUCAAUCAGCAUGAGAAGCACACUCGAAGCGGUAUUUUAGAAGAAUAUGUCAGAUACACUGGCCAACCAUUAAAUUUCACAGGUUCAGUUUAAGAACUUCAGGAGAUUGCUGGCAUUGCCUGAAAGGGAGAGGAAAAUUACAAACACAUGCUUGGAGCUCCGAGCGAGAUGCAGAAAUCUGGAGGAUAAUCCUUAUUGCUAUUUGAGAUAGAGCCCACGAGCCACAAUAAAGAAUUCCAUUCACCUGCCUGCAGAACGGCUAACUAGAAUCCUUAAUGCCAGCCAGAUUAAAAACAUUUCUUUCGGGUGAGCAGACCUGAUGGUUUAUGAGGACUGUGGGUUUCUCCGACCUCAGCUGGCCUUCUGCAGCCCGCCAGCCGCUCUCCUCUUGCACCACUAGUCUGCAAUGUUGCAUUAUCGAUCCGAGGGAUGGCUGUGGGGAGAGGUGUGCUGAGGAUGGACAUCUCCCACUGCUGGGGAGGGGGAUGCUCGGGGGGAACAGCAGUGAUGCUCUGUGCUGUGGGAUGUGGAGAUGGAAGCAUGGUGCUUUUGGAAAACAAUGGGCAGAGGGAUGUGGGACCCUGUGUGGAUGGGGGCAUGCAGACAACACAGCUCCCACCCACCACAAUGGUGGGGCUGCGGGGUCAAGAUCUGCCUCCAAAACCCUCUGAGUGCCCAGGCUGUGAUGCACAGCCACAAUGCGCUCAGAGCCCAGCGGGGCUGUGUAGACACAGUGGAAAAGCCAAGGAGCUCCGUCUGCACGGGCUGCAGAGCUGGGAGCCUGAGGAUCCAAAAAGAUUGUUACUAUACUUCAGAUUAUAUAAAUAACUCCCUGAAUAAAACCACAUGUGACCACAUUCUGUUCUCCAUCCCUCAGUGCUCUGCCGACAGCGCACAGACUUUUGCAACACUUGUUUACUAGGGAGACUGUAUAUAAAGUGAAAAUAAUUUGCUCGGUCUUAUGUUUCCACUUUAAUUCUCAGUGUAUAAAAAAAACCUGUGAAUUUGCUAAUGGGCUUUGAAAAUGUAUUUUUAAAGCUAGGGCAGCUCGAGUCGGUGAGUUGUUACGAAGGAUUACAGAAGGAACAAGGUUUCUAGAGAAAUGAUUCCCUUGAGGCAAUCCGUAGCAGCUGAAGGGCCUGAUUCUUUCCAAGAAAAUAAACACACUUCUGCAUCCAAAACAAAGCCCUGUUUCAGGUAUGAAGCAAGCUUGUUUGUUCUCUAGCAUUUAUGUGCUCCCCAUCGGCGCUGGUGUUUAGUUUAAUGUGUUUGGAGGCCAAACACACACUCACAAACUCACUCUACAAAGGAAGAUUCCUUUUGCAUCUUUAAAGCACACUUUUGGACGGAGAUAAAUGGUUGUGAGCUUCGGGAACGUUAGAGCCAGAUGGUCAAUUGAGAUCGCUUUGUGCAUUUCUGUAUUUCACUCCAGAGCUGAUCUCGCAUAAAAAAUAUUUUGGUAGCUUUUGCUAUGAGUUGCAGACCUGGGAGAACCUCCUGGAGCAGAAGGAUUGGUGAACAUACCACACUGAGAGGUCACAAAUGCCCCUAUUCCCUUUACCUGGUCAUUAAAGUCAAUGUGUUUGGGGGUUUCUCCAACUUGGAGGUAACUCAGAGCUUUGGAUUUGGGGUAUUUUUAGUUAAACUCCGCAGAGUUUAUCUCUAUUUUGUGUUGAUGAACGCAGGCUGAAAAUCUCUGCAAAUGUUUGGGAUCUUUUCACCCAGCAAACAGGAACAAAGGGUUGGGAGGCAAUGAAUGAUGAUCCGAAUCGUACUUUUACAAGUUGCUUUUACAAGGUCUGCUGGGGAAAUACCACUUCUGCCUUCUGCCCUGUGCAGCUACGUGGGAUCACGUUGGAGGGAUUCCCCCCAGCUGUUUCCCUUUCCCAACACUUCCUCUGGUCUGUGAAAGGCUGAGUCCUUCCCUUGGAUGGCACUGCCUGAGGCUAAACACAAGGCAGACUCCCAGUUCAGGAAGUGAGCACUGCUGUUUCUACACUGGCUUUCCUCUUUCAGUGGUCACUUCUGUUCUGAUGUAGGGAAGGUGCAUGAUUUUCUGUCAUUGCUUUGAUGAGAAAAGGUGAUUUGCCUAUCCAUUCACCUUGAGUGAAUGGGAAAAAAGGAUUUCACUGGUUCUAUGGGAGGGAGGCUGUGGCUGGGACCAAUCAUGCCAAUGGUUAAUGGGUUUUAAAGACUGCUGACUGAAUGGAUGCAGUGAAGAACCAGCAACCAGCCCUGACUUCUAAUAACCAGCAGCCGAUGGUGGGAGGACAUAUGGAGUCAGUGUGGCUCAGCUGGAUAUAAACCCCGGAGGUGUCAGGGCAGAGGGAUAAGGAAUUGUGCUGGCAGAGGGAAGGUGGAAAAGAUGAAAUUCUGGAUGCUGGAGAAACAAACAAUGCUGCCAGCCUGGACGUGCGUGUGAGCUUCGCGUCUCUGUUCCAGCCUAAGGACCCUAAAACACUGCAUGCUCGUUGACUCACAGCUGCUGGCGUGUUUUGAAAAGGCUGUCCUGUAUUGCUGCAAAACAGCUGCUGGCUGCAUGGCUCCCAGGAGGGGCGCAGCUCCAGCAGGGAGCCAGGCUCUGAACCUUGCUUCAGGAGUGAGGGUGAGAAACAGAGGACACCAGAAACACAGAAUUUGGUUCCCAUUGGACUAUGGCAUCCUUUGGGAUCCUGAAGGAGGGGAGAGACCCUGAGGGAUGUUCCGGGCAGUGCAAAUUUCCCAGGGAACGUGGUUUAUAAAACACAUCCCACAAGGCUGCGUGGUGUCCUGGCCAGACCCAGGCUGCUCCUAUGGCUGUGCCUUCUCCUGUCCCACUUGCAAUAGAUGGUUUCCCCCCACCUCCAUAUCCUCUGUACUACCACCUUGUCCCCACCAGCUCCUGUGGCACAGGAGACACGUGGCAGCUCCACCUCUAGGCAAAUUUUGGCCACCUGAGCAGCAGUGGGCACAUAUAAACCAUGGGAAAUUACAUUGCAAAUGGUUCCACUGAGCAUAGGCAGCGGCGCUCGUAUGGAGGAGCAACGGAGAAGUUUAAACAUCUGGUUCUGUGAAUUCCUAUAUUGUAAUAAAAUAAGUCUUCCCACAGAUUUCACGUCAUCCUUGUCUGGGCAUCACUGAACUGUGAAGGGAGAAACUCUUUUUUUUGUGUGUGUGGUUUUCAGAGGAACAAAGAGACAAUAUGCAUCUGGUGAGGUGUCUUGGCAGCCUCCUGCACCCAGCCUGAAUCUUGUGCUGGCAGCGUGGCCCCAUGUCAUGGGAUGGUAACUGCUGACCCACAGCACCAAAUCAGCAGAGCCUGGAGGGGACAUGGGGUCUGUGAGGGCUGGGGAGAGCUGGGCUGCAGCCUAUGGAUACUGGGAGCAGCAGCACAGUGCAGUGCAUCAAGGCAAUGCCUGCAGCCCAAUUUUUGCCCUUGUUCAAAUGCAAGGGCAACAGGUCCAGAAAGAACCAUCGGCUCCUGCUCGCCCCUGCCUAUGUCUGCCUGGCUGUGCCCCGUCUGCAGGCAUUUCUGCCUUAUCAGUAUUACUGAUUUUUCACCCAAAUGCUCUCCAGGUUUGCUCUUUGGCACCAGAGCAGCUUGGAGCAUCUUUCAUAGGAGGGGCGGAUGGGCUGAUUCAGAUGUGAUGCUCAGCCCCAUCACCAAUGCUUUCUUUCACGUGUGGGAGGACAGCUGCUGAUUCUCCCCUAAGCUGCCAUGCAGCAGCUGCCCACAGGCUUUGUCCAGAUGUUUGCCUUGUUUGAAGAGCUUUCCUACAAGAUGGGAAUCUCCUGGAAAAGGUGGCUCAGCAGAAGAAGAGGGCACAGAAACCUGCUGGGAAAUGGGCAGCACAGAGCUCAAGCAAGCAGGAUAGCAUCAGCUUUCCAUUGAGCCCAGGGCUGCUGUCCUUCCAUGGGAGCAGACCUGGGCUCAGCUCACACACGCUCUGGGCUGUUCCCUGCACUGAUCCAAUGCUGUUUGCCUUCAGUUAUCACCUUGAGACCUUCCAUGCUGUCUGAGCAAGCUGGAUGGUGGCAGCCUGUCCUCCUUUGCCAACAGGUGACUUUCCAGCACCAACAAAAUGCACAGAGUCCCCCCUUGCUCCUCAGCUGGACAGUUUGCAGCAGUACAGCCUGUAACACAUCAUACUGCUUUGUUUAUUCAGAGGCAGGCGUGUUUAAGAGGCCCUGGGCUUAUUUUAAGUCUACCACUUACAAGCAGAAGGAAGGCCCCAAUCUGCUGAAGGCCAGCAGGGAUGUUUGGCUGCAGCCACCCCUCGCAGGUGAUUAAUGCCGAUAGGGGAACAUGAUUAUAAAUGCAAUGAACUCAGCAUUUUGAGGAGGGGAAUGUGACCCCAUUCCUCAGCCUCACCCUUCCCAAAGCCCCCCUGCUCCCUUUGCCUGGUAAAUGCCACUGAUGAGAGCAGAGAGAUCAUAACCAUCCAUCUCCAGAAGCCAUUUUUCAGUGGGACUAGAUUCCACUUAGUCCUUGGACUUACCAGUCUGUCUGGCAAAAGGGAUUUCAUUCCUUUGCUUCUUUUUGUCAGGAUGGAUUUACUGAUCCCAAACACGUUCCUCACACUUUAUUUAGGGCUUAAAACGCAUCGUUUACAUUGCGGAGCUGUCACCAGCCUGUCUGAGCUGCAGAGGCAGACAGGCAAUGCUUUUCUCUCACCCCACUGUUCUCCCUGCCAGAUGUGAGGAUAACACAUCAAGGAGAUCUCUCAAUAGACACAAUUUGCCCUUUGGGGAACUGUUGCCUGUUCCCCACCAUGUUGGGGCAGCGAGCUCAGAGUGGAUGGAUGUUGUAUGGGAAACUGGUAAUCACAGCCUGAACCUCUGAUUAAUCAGCUGAGGCAAGUGUCGGGUCAGCUGUGGGAGCACAGGUGAGGGUAAUUCAGGUGGAGCUUGACUCCACCUCUUCUAGGCCUCAUUUAAGGGCUGACCACCACUAAAGCAGCAUGUGUUGGAGAUUGCUCCUCUGUGGAGGUUGCCUCAGCAGUUUCCAGCCAGAUUGAAGGUGAGUUUUUCCUAUAGUUAACCUUUUGGAUAUUUAUCGCUAUCCUUCCUGUAUUAUUACAUCUUUGUAUUAUUUUCAGCUUACAGCGUUCUCCUCCAGCUGCAUUCCCAUGGAUGAAUGAACCUGCAGAGAAUUCCAUGCUCUCACUAAGUGACACCAGGCAAUGACUGCUGAGCAUACCAGAAUCCCCCCUCACCUUUACCACCAGGACCUGCUCUUCUGUCUCUCCAGUGCUGGAUGAAGGAGGCAAAUGGUGAACAGCAAAACGAUCUGCAGAUGUGACUUUACCAGCAGUUGUUAACAUUUAACAUUUGCCCUGCAAAUCCAAAUCACUAACUCGUGAAGCAAAAGGGAAGCCAUGCAGGCUUGGAAGGGCUGUGGGUGCUGACAUUGGCAUCCCUCAGCAGGAGCAGAUUAAAACAUGGGGGAUCUCCUUACUUGUGUAUGGUCCUCGAGUAAGAGAAACCUCUGGGUGUGCAGAAGAGGCACUGUGCCCUCUGUUACCAUCAGCACUGCCCUCCUGGGCCCUGGUCUAAGGAUGCUCUGUGUGUUCUCCUUCCAUUUGAAUGAUUCAAAUUGCUUCAGAGUGCACCAGAGCUGUGAAUUAUGUGUUCAUAGGGCAGGUGUGAGCUGCAAAUUGCCACUAAAUGACAAAACCACAAAGAUCAAACAAGGGAGACCUGAGGAUGCUGUUACACAUCCACGUGGCAAUGACAGGAUGGAACACAACCCCUGGCACUCUCUUGCCUGCUCCUUCAGAUAUUAUCACACAGACAUGGAGCUGCUCAGCAGCAGCCAGCUCGUAUUUCUAGGGAUUUCCAGUGCAGAGAGCAGAGCUUAGCACCCCAGCCCUGCUCAGGCCCUGCUGGGGUGAUGGCUCCUCUCCAAGAUGGACUUAUUUUAAGCACAUGACUGCUCUGACUUGAGAGAACCGGCUUUGCUUUUUGCCUGCUGCUCAAUGUGUGUUUACCAUUUGGCUUCUGGGGUCAGAGCUCAGUGCUCAGCACCUUGCAGUACUGCUGGGGUUCAGGGGGACAGUGCACCUUGCCUUGAUGCUCAGCCUGCUUCCAUCAGUGCCCUGUAAAUACAAAGCUCCAGCUCUCAUUACCGCUCCUCUGAGUCAGACCGUCCCCCUCUCUACAUGAGAUCCCACAGCUGCACCCCUAUCAGCAUCAACUUAACCUGAAAUUGGGACAUUCACCUUUGCUGGAGUCCACGACAUCAGUAACAUUCCAAGAUAAGGAGCAAAGCCCACUACAACCCCACAGAAAGUCCAACUGUAGGAUUAAAGACCUUUAUCUGGUAGCCAGCAUAUCCACAUACUUCUUUGGCUUAAACAAAUGUAAAGUCUGUGCAGAGCUAUCCCUUGGAUCCAUGCUUCAUAUUUCACAGCCAUCCAUCACCUCCCUGCGCUGCAUCCCUCAGAUACUUCCAGCAAAAGCAAUGAGAUAAUCUCAGUCCCAUGGGAACUGCCUUGCUGGUAUCUCUUGCAACUUAAAAGGGGAAGCAGGACCUGGCUUAAUCCCCUGCCUGUCUGUACAGAGAUGGCUUUUCUGACUCAGUCUCACCGGGGUCCAAAGAUCCCUCAAAUAAUCCUGAAAGGUUGAGAAAUGAGGUUCAGGAUACGCUGCAGAUCCGUGUCGCUGCUGGAGAAAGAAGAGAAGGUAUUACCUGAAGUUGUACAGAGCUGUAAACAAGUGGAUGAGAAGAGACGUAUAUUUUAGCUGGAUUAAUUUGCUUCCCUUUUUCCAGGGCUGUACAGACAAGUGUCACCACGGCAGAGUAAAUGAAUGAAACCACAGAGCCAUUAGCUGAAUUUUCCAGCCCGGUUGAUGUCCAGCUUGGGCUCAGGCCAGAUGUAACCAGACCUCAGAUCCAGCAGCAGACUGGUGGCUCUGGGGCUGACCCUGCUGUGCUGAGCCCCCAGCACUGGGCUCCCAUCCCCAUAGCAGCACUGGGCACUGGGCAGAGCUGCUGCCAGCAGGUGAAGGUGCUGCACUGCAUUUCCUCAGCAAGGAAGGUUGUUUGAAGUGACCUCUCUGAUGUGUUUACUCAUAGAACUGGCUUGUUCACAAAGCUGUGAUUGGAACCUAUAGUUUAUAAGUUCAUAGCAAAUGCCCUCUGGGGAUGGAAAAAAAAAAGACUGACCCAUUCGAGUUCCAUCUGUUGGGGUUUAUAACUGUUCUCCUUAUAAUUGUCAACAGACAAUGUGAAUUGCAAUUAGCUAAUUGCUUGCUAACUUUCCGUUCUAAUAAUAGUCAUGUUCCAGAGUUA